CCUACGGGACGCAGCAGUGGGGAAUAUUGCACAAUGGGGGAAACCCUGAUGCAGCGACGCCGCGUGAGCGAAGAAGUAUUUCGGUAUGUAAAGCUCUAUCAGCAGGGAAGAAAAUGACGGUACCUGACUAAGAAGCCCCGGCUAAAUACGUGCCAGCAGCCGCGGUAAUACGUAGGGGGCAAGCGUUAUCCGGAAUCACUGGGUGUAAAGGGAGCGUAGACGGCUGAGCAAGCCUGAAGUGAAAGGCGGAGGCCCAACCCCCGGACUGCUUUGGGAACUGUACGGCUGGCGUGCAGGAGAGGUAG
rnacentral:rRNA from 1 species